rnacentral:rRNA from 1 species
GGAAUAUUGGACAAUGGGCGAAAGCCUGAUCCAGCCAUGCCGCGUGUGUGAAGAAGGUCUUCGGAUUGUAAAGCACUUUAAGUUGGGAGGACGGGUUGUAGAUUAAUCCUCUGCAAUUUUGACGUUACCGACAGAAUAGGCACCGGCUAACUCUGUGCCAGCAGCCGCGGUAAUACAGAGGGUGCAAGCGUUAAACGGAAUUACUGGGCGUAAAGCGCGCGUAGGUGGUUGGUUAAGUUGGAUGUGAAAGCCCCGGGCUCAACCUGGGAACUGCAUCCAAAACUGGCCGACUAGAGUACAGUAGAGGGUGGUGGAAUUUCCUGUGUAGCGGUGAAAUGCGUAGAUAUAGGAAGGAACACCAGUGGCGAAGGCGACCACCUGGACUGAUACUGACACUGAGGUGCGAAAGCGUGGGGAGCAAAC